rnacentral:rRNA from 1 species
UACGAAGGGGGCUAGCGUUGCUCGGAAUUACUGGGCGUAAAGGGCGCGUAGGCGGCCAUUUAAGUCGGGGGUGAAAGCCCAGGGCUCAACCCUGGAAUUGCCUUCGAUACUGGAUGUCUUGAGUUCGGGAGAGGUGAGUGGAAUGCCGAGUGUAGAGGUGAAAUUCGUAGAUAUUCGGAAGAACACCAGUGGCGAAGGCGACUGACUGGACAGAUAUUGACGCUGAGGUGCGAAAGCGUGGGGAGCAAACAGG